AAAAAGCACAAGUAAAUAUAUGUCUCUAGGAUUACCUCAGGAUACAGUAUGUUGUUAUAUAUUAUAUAUGUCAUGGAACUUUCCAAUCUACAAAUUGAGGGUAGUUUAUAUUCCUAUACAGACGAUACAACGUUGAUUGUGACAGGUGAAACAUGGGAAUCAGUGGUGAAAAUAGCAGAAAACUCUCUAAAAAAAAAAUAAUUAAUUGGUUUUC